rnacentral:rRNA from 1 species
CCUACGGGUGGCUGCAGUGGGGAAUAUUGGACAAUGGGCGAAAGCCUGAUCCAGCCAUGCCGCGUGUGUGAAGAAGGCCUUCGGGUUGUAAAGCACUUUCAGUGGGGAAGAAAGCCUUGGGGCUAAUACCCUCGAGGAAGGACAUCACCCACAGAAGAAGCACCGGCUAACUCCGUGCCAGCAGCCGCGGUAAUACGGAGGGUGCGAGCGUUAAUCGGAAUUACUGGGCGUAAAGCGCGCGUAGGCGGUCUGAUAAGCCGGUUGGGAAAGCCCCGGGCUCAACCUGGGAACGGCAUCCGGAACUGUCAGGCUAGAGUGCAGGAGAGGAAGGUAGAAUUCCCGGUGUAGCGGUGAAAUGCGUAGAGAUCGGGAGGAAUACCAGUGGCGAAGGCGGCCUUCUGGACUGACACUGACGCUGAGGUGCGAAAGCGUGGGUAGCAAACAGGAUUAGAUACCCCAGUAGUC